AUUGAACGCUGGCGGCAGGCCUAACACAUGCAAGUCGAACGAGUGGAAGACGGGUGAGUAAUGUGUGGGAAACUGCCUGAUGGAGGGGGAUAACUACUGGAAAAGGGUGUUAAUAACGCAUACCAUAGGAGGAGCCGAGAUGGGAUUAGCUGGUAGGUGGGGGAACGGCUCACCUAGGCGACGAUCCCUAGCUGGUCUGCGAGGAUGACAAGCCACACUGGAACUGAGACACGGUCCAGACUCCUACGGGCGGCAGCGGUGGGGAAUAUUGCACAAGGGGCGCAAGCCUGAUGCAGCCAUGCCGCGUGUGUGACGAAGGCCUUCGGGUUGUAAAGCUCUUUCAGCGGGGAGGCGUUACCCGCAGAAGAAGCACCGGCUAACUCCGUGCCAGCAGCCGCGGUAAUUC
rnacentral:rRNA from 1 species